rnacentral:rRNA from 1 species
UACGUAGGGGGCAAGCGUUGUCCGGAAUCAUUGGGCGUAAAGAGCGCGUAGGCGGCCCGAUAAGUCCGCUGUGAAAGUCAAGGGCUCAACCCUUGAAUGCCGGUGGAUACUGUCGGGCUAGAGUCCGGAAGAGGCGAGUGGAAUUCCCGGUGUAGCAGUGAAAUGCGUAGAGAUCGGGAGGAACAUCAGUUGCGAAGGCGGCUCUCUGGACCAGCACUGACACUGAGGCACGAAAGCGUGGGGAGCAAACAGG